rnacentral:rRNA from 1 species
AUUGAACGCUGGCGGCAUGCCUUACACAUGCAAGUCGAACGGUAACAGGUUAAACUGACGAGUGGCGAACGGGUGAGUAAUGUAUCGGAACGUGCCCAGUCGUGGGGGAUAACUACUCGAAAGAGUGGCUAAUACCGCAUACGACCUGAGGGUGAAAGCGGGGGACCGUAAGGCCUCGCGCGUUGGAGCGGCCGAUAUCAGAUUAGCUAGUUGGUGGGGUAAAAGCCCACCAAGGCGACGAUCUGUAGCUGGUCUGAGAGGACGACCAGCCACACUGGGACUGAGACACGGCCCAGACUCCUACGGGAGGCAGCAGUGGGGAAUUUUGGACAAUGGACGCAAGUCUGAUCCAGCCAUGCCGCGUGCGGGAAGAAGGCCUUCGGGUUGUAAACCGCUUUUGUCAGGGAAGAAACGCUCUGGGUUAAUACCUCGGGGUAAUGACGGUACCUGAAGAAUAAGCACCGGCUAACUACGUGCCAGCCGCCGCGGUAAGAC